GAUGAACGCUGGCGGCGUGCCUAAUACAUGCAAGUCGAGCGAACGGACGAGAAGCUUGCUUCUCUGAUGUUAGCGGCGGACGGGUGAGUAACACGUGGAUAACCUACCUAUAAGACUGGGAUAACUUCGGGAAACCGUAGCUAAUACCGGAUAAUAUUUUGAACCGCAUGGUUCAAAAGUGAAAGACGGUCUUGCUGUCACUUAUAGAUGGAUCCGCGCUGCAUUAGCUAGUUGGUAAGGUAACGGCUUACCAAGGCAACGAUGCAUAGCCGACCUGAGAGGGUGAUCGGCCACACUGGAACUGAGACACGGUCCAGACUCCUACGGGAGGCAGCAGUAGGGAAUCUUCCGCAAUGGGCGAAAGCCUGACGGAGCAACGCCGCGUGAGUGAUGAAGGUCUUCGGAUCGUAAAACUCUGUUAUUAGGGAAGAACAUAUGUGUAAGUAACUGUGCACACCUUGACGGUACCUAAUCAGAAAGCCACGGCUAACUACGUG
rnacentral:rRNA from 1 species